UCCCUGGUGGUCCAGUGGUUAAGACUUUGCACUCCCAAUGCAGAGGCCACGGGUUCAAGCCCUGGUCAGGGAA